rfam:Apaloderma vittatum contig41677, whole genome shotgun sequence.
GGGCCAGUGAGCUCAGUUAGUUGAGCGUAGCGCUAACAACGCUAAGGUCACGGGUUCGAUUCCCGUUCGGUCCC